rnacentral:sRNA from 1 species
GCGGUGAGCACCAUGGAGCUGGCGGCCUUGUGCCGCUGGGGGCUCCUCCUCGCCCUCUUGCCCCCCGGAGCCGCGAGCACCCAAGUGUGCACCGGCACAGACAUGAAGCUGCGGCUCCCUGCCAGUCCCGAGACCCACCUGGACAUGCUCCGCCACCUCUACCAGGGCUGCCAGGUGGUGCAAGGAAACCUGGAACUCACCUACCUGCCCACCAAUGCCAGCCUCUCCUUCCUGCAGGAUAUCCAGGAGGUGCAGGGCUACGUGCUCAUCGCUCACAACCAAGUGAGGCAGGUCCCACUGCAGAGGCUGCGGAUUGUGCGAGGCACCCAGCUCUUUGAGGACAACUAUGCCCUGGCCGUGCUAGACAAUGGAGACCCGCUGAACAAUACCACCCCUGUCACAGGGGCCUCCCCAGGAGGCCUGCGGGAGCUGCAGCUUCGAAGCCUCACAGAGAUCUUGAAAGGAGGGGUCUUGAUCGAGCGGAACCCCCAGCUCUGCUACCAGGACACGAUUUUGUGGAAGGACAUCUUCCACAAGAACAACCAGCUGGCUGUCACACUGAUAGACACCAACCGCUCUCGGGCCUGCCACCCCUGUUCUUCGGUGUGUAAGGGCUCCCGCUGCUGGGGAGAGAGUUCUGAGGAUUGUCAGAGCCUGACGCGCACUGUCUGUGCCGGUGGCUGUGCCCGCUGCAAGGGGCCACUGCCCACUGACUGCUGCCAUGAGCAGUGUGCUGCCGGCUGCACGGGCCCCAAGCACUCUGACUGCCUGGCCUGCCUCCACUUCAACCACAGUGGCAUCUGUGAGCUGCACUGCCCAGCCCUGGUCACCUACAACACAGACACCUUUGAGUCCAUGCCCAAUCCCGAGGGCCGAUAUACAUUCGGCGCCAGCUGUGUGACUGCCUGUCCCUACAACUACCUUUCUACGGACGUGGGAUCCUGCACCCUCGUCUGCCCCCUGCACAACCAAGAGGUGACAGCAGAGGACGGAACACAGCGGUGUGAGAAGUGCAGCAAGCCCUGUGCCCGAGGUACCCACUCACUGCCCCCGAGGCCAGCUGCAGUUCCUGUCCCUCUGCGCAUGCAGCCUGGCCCAGCCCACCCUGUCCCAUCCUUCCUCAGACCCUCUUGGGACCCAGUCUCUGCCUUCUACUCUCUACCCCUGGCCCCCCUCAGCCCUACAAGUGUCCCUAUAUCCCCUGCCAGUGUGGGGAGGGGCCUGGACCCUGAUGCCCAUAUGGCUGUUGACCUGUCCCUGUGUGAAGGCUGAGACGGCCCCUUCCCCACCCACCCCCACCCCUUCAGUGUGCUAUG